UUUCCGUAGGUGAACCUGCGGAAGGAUCAUUAUUGAAACUUGAAUCGUAGCAUUGAGAACUGUUUCCGACCUGUUAAAGGGUAUGUGCACGUUCGACGUGUUGCGUUCUAUUCAUCCACCUGUGCACCUUUGUAGACUUGAUUAACUUUCGCUCUCGAGCGGUUAGAAGGGUUGCUUUCGAGCUCCCUUUGUCUAUAAAGUCUAUGUAUAUAUAAUCUCUUGUAUGUUUAGAAUGUCUUGUUUAUGGGACGCAAGUCCUUUAAAUCUUAUACAACUUUCAACAACGGAUCUCUUGGCUCUC
rnacentral:misc_RNA from 1 species